GAUGAACGCUGGCGGCGUGCCUAAUACAUGCCAGUCGAGCGAACAGAUAAGGAGCUUGCUCCUUUGACGUUAGCGGCGGACGGGUGAGUUACACGUGGAUAACCUACCUAUAAGACUGGGAUAACUUCGGGAAACCGGAGCUAAUACCGGAUAACAUAUUGAACCGCAUGGUUCAAUAGUGAAAGGCGGCUUUGCUGUCACUUAUAGAUGGAUCCGCGCCGUAUUAGCUAGUUGGUAAGGUAACGGCUUACCAAGGCAACGAUGCGUAGCCGACCUGAGAGGGUGAUCGGCCACACUGGAACUGAGACACGGUCCAGACUCCUACGGGAGGCAGCAGUAGGGAAUCUUCCGCAAUGGGCGAAAGCCUGACGGAGCAACGCCGCGUGAGUGAUGAAGGUCUUCGGAUCGUAAAACUCUGUUAUCAGGGAAGAACAAAUGUGUAAGUAACUGUGCACAUCUUGACGGUACCUGAUCAGAAAGCCACGGCUAACUACGUG
rnacentral:rRNA from 1 species